CAAGUCCUACACCCUAAAUUAAAUAGAGAAAUCCUUAAUUGUUUUACUCACAUAAUAUCGUAAUUUGUAAAAAAAUUCUGUUUUCUAUAUGGCAUAUAGCGGCAACGUUGCGCUCUUUUCCAGCUGAUUAUAUUUCGUGACCGUAGUUGUCUAUGAAACUGAACAUUAGCGUAUCGUUCUAACGAUGAACGUUAAAAAGCGUGUUUGUUUUCAUAUUUCGUAAUCUCCAAUUUCCACUAGUCUAAAUUUAUAAAUAAAAUGUGAAAAUAUUAAUCUUUGAUUAUCUCAACUAAAUAAUAUAUUCUGAAGUCAUUAAAAUGUGUGAGUUGAAAGUUUACCAAGCAUAAAUGGGAAACAUACAAUGUGAUACAAGUGAUUAAAUAUUUACGUGUCUUCAUUUCCUGAUAAGAAAUAAACAUCAAGAAUUUUAAUUUCUUAUUAAUUACUCACUAUCAUUAGGGAAAUUUGAAUUGUUUUUAAAUACAUCGCUAACAUCGAAUUACAAAUAUUUGUUUUACUCGAAACGCGGUGUUUCAUGUAAGAAUGAAAUAAAAUGCGAAAAGAUAACUGACGAUUUGGAAAAAAUAAAUUUCGUAUUAUCAUCAUCAUCAUCAUCGGAAACAUACCUCGUUGUUGUAAUCGAUGAUAUUAAUUUUUUGGAUAACCUCGUAUAUGAUAUUAUCGGAAAAUUGUUAAUUUCCAACGGAAAUAAAGAUGUUUUGAUCGAUUUACCGGAAGUGAAAAUAUCGCCUGAGGAUUAUACGUCCAAUGAAGUGAGUGAUGUGUCAUUAACAACCGGCAAAUUGGAUAAUAUUUUAGCAGUACUGUGUACAACAGAAAAAAUAGAAUUGAUGUUAUUUUUUCCGGAAAAUUGGAACGUCAAUUUAGACAGUACUUUCGAAAUCCAUUGUUCGUUGACGAAACUACAAUUACGUUGUAAUUGUAAAUCGUAUUUCGCGGCUAAUCGUUUAUCGCAAGCUUUCGAUAAUACAAUUUUAGAAUUACAUUCGAUUCGAACAGUCGAAGAAAUGUCCGCCGUCGUUCAUUUCAUUUCGAAUGAUGGUAUGCUGUCAUUUUUACAUCACGUUCAUAAACAGAUACCAGGUUUAACGAUAAUUCCGAUGAUAUUUUAUCGACAUUAUAAAAUAAGGGAUUGUAAUGUUGAACGUAGAUCGGAAAUUUUGCGACGUUUCCAAAAAAGCGUAAACCGUGAAAUAGAACUCCUAGAAUCUCUUGGGGGUAAUUCAAAAAGUGCAGCUAAAUACAGAUCGAAACUUAUAAAUACGGAAAAAGAAACUGAUAUUUUAUAUUUAAAAUUGUGUCAAAUAAAUAAUUAUUAAA